AUGAACGCUAGCUACAGGCUUAACACAUGCAAGUCGAGGGGCAGCAUUUUAGUUUGCUUGCAAACUGAAGAUGGCGACCGGCGCACGGGUGAGUAACACGUAUCCAACCUGCCGAUAACUCCGGAAUAGCCUUUCGAAAGAAAGAUUAAUACCGGAUAGUAUACGAAUAUCGCAUGAUAUUUUUAUUAAAGAAUUUCGGUUAUCGAUGGGGAUGCGUUCCAUUAGUUUGUUGGCGGGGUAACGGCCCACCAAGACUACGAUGGAUAGGGGUUCUGAGAGGAAGGUCCCCCACAUUGGAACUGAGACACGGUCCAAACUCCUACGGGAGGCAGCAGUGAGGAAUAUUGGUCAAUGGGCGAGAGCCUGAACCAGCCAAGUAGCGUGAAGGAUGAAGGCUCUAUGGGUCGUAAACUUCUUUUAUAUGGGAAUAAAGUUUUCCACGUGUGGAAUUUUGUAUGUACCAUAUGAAUAAGGAUCGGCUAACUCCGUGCCAGCAGCCGCGGUAAUACGGAGGAUCCGAGCGUUAUCCGGAUUUAUUGGGUUUAAAGGGAGCGUAGGUGGAUUGUUAAGUCAGUUGUGAAAGUUUGCGGCUCAACCGUAAAAUUGCAGUUGAAACUGGGAGUCUUGAGUACAGUAGAGGUGGGCGGAAUUCGUGGUGUAGCGGUGAAAUGCUUAGAUAUCACGAAGAACUCCGAUUGCGAAGGCAGCUCACUAGACUGUCACUGACACUGAUGCUCGAAAGUGUGGGUAUCAAACAGGAUUAGAUACCCUGGUAGUCCACACAGUAAACGAUGAAUACUCGCUGUUUGCGAUAUACAGUAAGCGGCCAAGCGAAAGCAUUAAGUAUUCCACCUGGGGAGUACGCCGGCAACGGUGAAACUCAAAGGAAUUGACGGGGGCCCGCACAAGCGGAGGAACAUGUGGUUUAAUUCGAUGAUACGCGAGGAACCUUACCCGGGCUUAAAUUGCAACAGAAUAUAUUGGAAACAGUAUAGCCGUAAGGCUGUUGUGAAGGUGCUGCAUGGUUGUCGUCAGCUCGUGCCGUGAGGUGUCGGCUUAAGUGCCAUAACGAGCGCAACCCUUAUCUUUAGUUACUAACAGGUCAUGCUGAGGACUCUAGAGAGACUGCCGUCGUAAGAUGUGAGGAAGGUGGGGAUGACGUCAAAUCAGCACGGCCCUUACGUCCGGGGCUACACACGUGUUACAAUGGGGGGUACAGAAGGCGACUACCUGGUGACAGGAUGCUAAUCCCAAAAACCUCUCUCAGUUCGGAUCGAAGUCUGCAACCCGACUUCGUGAAGCUGGAUUCGCUAGUAAUCGCGCAUCAGCCAUGGCGCGGUGAAUACGUUCCCGGGCCUUGUACACACCGCCCGUCAAGCCAUGAAAGCCGGGGGUACCUGAAGUACGUAACCGCAAGGAGCGUCCUAGGGUAAAACUGGUAAUUGGGGCU
rnacentral:rRNA from 1 species